rnacentral:rRNA from 1 species
UACGUAGGGUCCGAGCGUUGUCCGGAAUUAUUGGGCGUAAAGAGCUCGUAGGCGGUUUGUCGCGUCUGCUGUGAAAUCCCGAGGCCCAACCUCGGGCCUGCAGUGGGUACGGGCAGACUGGAGUGCGGUAGGGGAGAAUGGAAUUCCUGGUGUAGCGGUGGAAUGCGCAGAUAUCAGGAGGAACACCGAUGGCGAAGGCAGUUCUCUGGGCCGUAACUGACGCUGAGGAGCGAAAGCGUGGGGAGCGAACAGG